AGGAUCAUACUUCAUAGGAUCGUAUCUGUAGUAUAUGUUCAAAAUUGUUUAGCAUAAAACUGAGCCAAUGCAACUAUGUUGACGAGUUGUAGCUUUCUUUCUUCAACGUUAGGACGAUUCAAAAUUUUGGUUUUUAAGUCAAGAUUUUGGUCACGGAUGAUCAUUACUCCUUUUAUUUAGUAAAAGGAGAUUGGGGAAGCGAAGCUUUCUGAGUA
rnacentral:snoRNA from 1 species